rnacentral:ncRNA from 1 species
UCUUUGAUUGGCGGCUCUAACGACAUCGUAGCGAUCAAAGGGUUGUAGCGUUACUAGAGGGAAGAUGCUGAAAUAGCGCAAUACAGGUGGCGAAGCUAGUGCCUGUGCAUCGAACGACUGGCGGGU